GACCGCGUAGCUCAGUUGGAAGAGCAUUGGGCUAGUAUUCCAAAGGUCGUAGGUUCGAAUCACACCGUGGCCG